UACGUAGGGGGCAAGCGUUGUCCGGAAUCAUUGGGCGUAAAGAGCGCGUAGGCGGUCCGGUAAGUCCGCUGUGAAAGUCAAGGGCUCAACCCUUGAAUGCCGGUGGAUACUGUCGGGCUAGAGUCCGGAAGAGGCGAGUGGAAUUCCUGGUGUAGCGGUGAAAUGCGCAGAUAUCAGGAGGAACACCGGUGGCGAAGGCGGCUUUCUGGACAGAUACCGACGCUGAGGCACGAAAGCUAGGGGAGCAAACAGG
rnacentral:rRNA from 1 species